ACUGAAAAUGUCGAGACGGGCUCACUCGCCCCAUAAACA
rnacentral:tRNA from 1 species